UGCGUAACGCGUAGGAAUCUACCUUUUUAGUGGGGGAACAACGUCGGGGAAACUCGAGCUAAUACCGCAUAAUCUCUACGGAGCAAAGCAGGGGACCUUUCGGGGGCCUUUGCGCUAUUAGAUGAGCCUGCGUCAGAUUAGCUUGUUGGUGGGGUAAUGGCUACCAAGGCGACGAUCUGUAGCUGGUCUGAGAGGGACGAUCAGCCACACUGGGACUGAGACACGGCCCCAGACUCCUACGGGAGGCAGCAGUGGGGAAUAUUGCACAAUGAGCGCAAGCUUGAUGCAGCAAUGCCGCGUGUGUGAAGAAGGCCUGCGGGUUGUAAAGCACUUUUAUCGGGAAAGAAAAACCCAGGGUUAAUACCCCUGGCAUUGACGGUACCCGAAGAAUAAGCACCGGCCAACUCCGUG
rnacentral:rRNA from 1 species